rnacentral:rRNA from 1 species
ACUCAAAUGAAUAGACGGGGACCUGCACAAGUGGUGGAGCGUGUGGUUUAAUUCGAUAGCAAGCGAAGAACCUUACCGAGGCUUGACAUCCCUAGAAAGCCCUGGAAACAGGGCCGUGCCGCAAGGAGCUAGGUGACAGGUGUUGCACGGUUGUCGUCAGCUCGUGCUGUGAAGUGUCCCGUUCAGUCGGUUAACGAGCGCAACCCUCAUCCUGUGUUAAAUUUUUCACAGGAAACUGCCCCAGUUAAUGGGGAGGAAGGUGAGGACGACGUCAAAUCAGCGUGGCUCUUACGCCUCGGGCGACACACGCGCUACAAUGGGAAGUAACAAUGGGUCGCUAAGCCGUGAGGCGGAGCUAAUCCUAUCAAACCUUCCCCCAGUUCGGAUUGGAGGCUGCAACUCGCCUCCAUGAAGCCGGAAUCACUAGUAACGGCCGGUCAGCCAUACGGCCGUGAAUACGUUCUCAGGUCUUGUACACACCGCCCGU